UACGGAGGGGGCAAGCGUUGUUCGGAAUUACUGGGCGUAAAGGGCGCGCAGGCGGCUGCUCAAGUCAGGCGUGAAAGGCCUGGGCUCAACCCGGGAAUUGCGCUUGAGACUGGGCUGGCUUGAGUGCGGGAGAGGAUGGUGGAAUUCCCAGUGUAGAGGUGAAAUUCGUAGAUAUUGGGAAGAACACCGGUGGCGAAGGCGGCCAUCUGGACCGCAACUGACGCUGAGGCGCGAAAGCAUGGGGAGCAAACAGG
rnacentral:rRNA from 1 species